rnacentral:rRNA from 1 species
GUAAUAGCUCACUGGACUAGUGGUUCUGCGCGGAAAAUGUAACGGGGCUCAAGCGUCGUACCGAAGCUACGAACUUCUUCGGAAGUGGUAGGAGAGCAUUGUGUGUGCUGAUGAAGGCGUACCGUAAGGAGCGCUGGAGGUCCCACAAGAGCUGAUGCUGAAAUGAGUAGCGACAAGGAGGGCGAGAAUCCCUCCCACCGUAAAUCUAAGGGUUCCUGGGC